rnacentral:rRNA from 1 species
GUGCCAGCCGCCGCGGUAAUACGGAGGAGGCAAGCGUUAUCCGGAAUUAUUGGGCGUAAAGCGUCCGUAGGUGGCUCUUCAAGUCUGCUGUCAAAGAGUGGGGCUUAACCCUGCCAAGGCAGUGGAAACUGAAAGGCUAGAGAGCCGUAGGGGUAGAGGGAAUUCCCGGUGUAGCGGUGAAAUGCGUAGAGAUCGGGAAGAACAUCGGUGGCGAAAGCGCUCUACUGGACGGUAUCUGACACUGAGGGACGAAAGCUAGGGGAGCGAAUGGGAUUAGAUACCCGUGUAGUCC